rnacentral:rRNA from 1 species
UACGGAGGGUGCAAGCGUUAUCCGGAUUCACUGGGUUUAAAGGGUGUGUAGGCGGGCAUUUAAGUCAGUGGUGAAAUCUCUGAGCUCAACUCGGAAACUGCCAUUGAUACUAUUUGUCUUGAAUAUCGUUGAGGUUGGCGGAAUAUAUCAUGUAGCGGUGAAAUGCUUAGAUAUGAUAUAGAACACCGAUUGCGAAGGCAGCUAACUAAGCGAUGAUUGACGCUGAGGCACGAAAGCGUGGGGAUCAAACAGG